GUCACAAAAAAAUACAAAUAAAAAUACAAUUAAUUUUGAUGUUUUUAGCAAAAUAUAGUAAAAAUGUGGGCGAUAAUAGGGCAACCCAUUUUCCUUGUUUGUUUGUUUUUAUAGAAUAAACAACACAAUGAAGAAGUUUCAACAGAGGGCUUAUAAGCGUAGAUGGGCUGCCACAACUAGGCAUUUGAAGAAGCAAUGCCGACAGUCAACUUUAGAAUUAGAGAGUGAUGAUAGCGAGCAAGAGAAUGACACGACAAUCUUUACAACUCCAGAAACAGUGACAACCCUUCAGUACAUGGAUGCUGCGGAGACUGCUUCCUGCACUGCCGCGGGUGCUGACAAUGCCACCUACAGUGGCCCUGAUAGUGAUGAGCCUGAUGAAAAUGAUUCUGAUUGGAGACUAAUCGACCAUCAUGUCACCUUGUCAUCUGAUUCAGAAAAUGAGAGUGAUAGUGACUGCUUUGAAGAUAUUUUGAGGUCUGGAUUAUUUUAUCUUCAGAAUAGCUUCUGCUAUUGGCCAAAGCCAAAUCCUACCCACUCCAGAAUCCGGAGAGCUGAGAUUCCUGACAAAGAAGUCUGGGAUAGGCUGCCAAUUCGGGUUUUCAGGAAAACAUUGACUGAAGACUUUGACAAGGCCCUUCAAUAUGAAAAACAAGCUGAAAUGUUUUCGAGCCCAGAGGAAGAAGAAAUGUCAACCAAAUGGAGCCACAUCACCCCUGAACGUUAUAGAAACGAUGAGGAAGAUGUGUUUGAUGCUGACGGCGAAGAGGAAAUUCGGCCAAAAAAGAAGUGCAGAAAAGAGAAAUUACAGAUCCUCAUCCAGGCACCCCCACUGCCAGUGCUCCCACCAUUGAACUUUCCAAACUCCAGCGAGUACCAGACCACUUCAGCCAGUACCAGCCAAUACUACACCACUCCAAGGCAUCCAGGCCGACCUCACAGCCCAGCGAGAAGCAGCACUUACAGGCUCAGUCCAGACAGGAAUCAUGCAUCCAGCCCAAGCCAGUACCAAACCACUCCAACCAGUACGAGUCAGUACCAGACCACUCCAAGAAGCAGCAGGAAUGCCCUUGAAAGUGAACUUUUCCAGUUAAACAUGAAAGUUCAAAAACUAGUUGAGAACCAGGGAGAAAUUAUGCGCAUGCUGAGAGGGCUGGCAGCACAGUCUGUGGGGCCAGAAGCUGUGGAUGUUCAAGAUCUCAUUGAGAAGCCUUUCGAGACUCUUGAGCAGCUUAAGACCUUCAGUGAACAGCUCGACACUGAUCUUCUGCUCAGAAAGCAGCUGGUGAAAGCUCUUACUGCUCUUGGUGGGCAGAAUUUGGCAGACACGGUGAGGACAAUGCUGAGGAAAAUUGCCACAAACAAAGUCCUGGAGCAGCUUGGUCUCCGUGGAAAGACAGGCAAAGUGGCAUUUGAGGACUUGCCCUUUUACAGAAUAAUAAUAAAGGCAUGCAGGGGUAUUCACAAACAGACGACCACAGCUGAAGUAGAUUGUGAGCUUGGAGAGGUCCUGAAACUGGCCACUUUUCGAAAGGGAGGUUCAAAGUUUGAGGAGAAGAGGAGGAAUUAAGAGGAAGUGACGGCGAAGAAGGGCAAAGGGAGGUGUACAAAGGAAAUGGACAGUGAGAUGAGUGACCAGGAAGCGACGGCGAAGAAGGGCAAAGGGAGGUGUACAAAGGGAAUGGACAGUGAGAUGAGUGACCAGGAAGUGAAGAAGAAGAAAACAGGGAAAGGGAAAAGAACCAAGCAAACGCCAGUGAGACCAGUGAGCAUUGAGCAGGUAAACAAGGAGUAAAUUAUGCCAUGUUUUAAUUGAAUUCAACAGAGGUGGGUAGUAACGCGCUACAUUUACUCCGUUACAUCUACUUGAGUAACUUUUGGGAUAAAUUGUACUUCUAAGAGUAGUUUUAAUGCAACAUACUUUUACUUUUACUUGAGUAUAUUUAUAGAGAAGAAACGCUACUUUUACUCCGCUACUUUUAUCUACA